GACGAACCGUGCGAACGUUGUUCGGAUUCACUGGGCUUAAAGGGCGCGUAGGCGGGCGGUCAAGUCGGGGGUGAAAUCUUUCAGCUUAACUGGAAAAGUGCCUCCGAUACUGAUCGCCUCGAGGGAGGUAGGGGCAUGUGGAACUUCCGGUGGAGCGGUGAAAUGCGUAGAUAUCGGAAGGAACGCCGGUGGCGAAAGCGACGUGCUGGACCUCUACUGACGCUGAGGCGCGAAAGCUAGGGGAGCAAACGGG
rnacentral:rRNA from 1 species